rnacentral:rRNA from 1 species
CCUACGGGUGGCAGCAGUGAGGAAUAUUGGUCAAUGGACGAGAGUCUGAACCAGCCAAGUAGCGUGAAGGAUGACUGCCCUAUGGGUUGUAAACUUCUUUUAUAUGGGAAUAAAAUGUUCCACGUGUGGGAUUUUGUAUGUACCAUAUGAAUAAGGAUCGGCUAACUCCGUGUCAGCAGCCGCGGUAAUACGGAGGAUCUGAGCGUUAUCCGGAUUUAUUGGGUUUAAAGGGAGCGUAGUGGGAUUGUUAAGUCAGUUGUGAAAGUUUGCGGCUCAACCGUAAAAUUGCAGUUGAAACUGGGAGUCUUGAGUACAGUAGGGGUGGGCGGAAUUCGUGGUGUAGCGGUGAAAUGCUUAGAUAUCACGAAGAACUCCGAUUGCGAAGGCAGCUCACUGGACUGCAACUGACGCUGAGGCUCGAAAGUGUGGGUAUCAAACAGGAUUAGAUACCCGUGUAGUC